rnacentral:tRNA from 2 species
AUUUAUAUAAUAUAUAUAUAGU